AUUUUUGGGUUUGGGAGGGUAAAAUACCGGCCCACGAUCGAAUCCCGAAAGUUACCGGAUGGGCUGUUUACUUCUCUGGUUUUUUUGGGUAACAUCUCGGCCCAUCCCAGAUCUUCCCGACCCGGUAAGCUGCACGCUCCGGUUUUCUCAGCCACGAGGUCGACCCCGUGUUUUCGGUCGUGAAAAGGGGAACGAAGCGACGGAGGCAACGCAACGGCGGCGAUAGGCGGCGGGGAAAGGCGACACGGCGGCGGGGAAAGAACUAGCAGAUCAAGACGGCGCCGACGAGAUCCUCCUCCGGCGACUGGUCCUGCUGGAGGUCCUCUGGCGGCGGCGCGGUUUCCGGAAUUCGGUGGCAAUGACUUCUAAUGUUCUUCAAACUGCAUGACACUGAGUUUAUGGCGGCGGUUGCUCAUCUGUUCGGUCGACACUUAUUUAUGUGUGUUGGGUCGACAUUUAUUUAUGUGUGUGUUCUUGUUCGAGAAGAUUGCAUAACAUAAUUGCAUGACACCGAGUUUAUGUUAAAGACAUGGUUUUUAAUUUA